rnacentral:piRNA from 1 species
AUCCUAGACUGGGAUCUUCCAGGACCAGAU